AGAGUUUGAUCAUGGCUCAGAAUGAACGCUGGCGGCGCGCCUAAUACAUGCAAGUCGAGCGAGAAGACGUAGCAAUACGUUUGUAAAGCGGCGAACGGGUGAGGAAUACAUGGGUAACCUACCCUUGAGUGGGGAAUAACUAGCCGAAAGGUUAGCUAAUACCGCGUACGCUUCUUGGACUUCGGUUCAGGGAGGAAAGCGCUACCGUGGGUAGCGCGCUCCUGGAUGGGCUCAUGUCCUAUCAGCUUGUUGGUGAGGUAACGGCUCACCAAGGCUUCGACGGGUAGCUGGUCUGAGAGGACGAUCAGCCACACUGGCACUGCGACACGGGCCAGACUCCUACGGGAGGCAGCAGUAAGGAAUAUUGCGCAAUGGGCGAAAGCCUGACGCAGCGACGCCGCGUGGGGGAUGAAGGUCUUCGGAUUGUAAACCCCUUUCGGGAGGGAAGAUGGAAUGGGGUAACCCAUUCGGACGGUACCUCCAGAAGC
rnacentral:rRNA from 1 species